UAAUGUUAGACAUUCGGCUUUCAUUUUAUCUUCCUCCUCUCUGCCUGUUUCCUUUUCAUCUUCUUAAAUUGGUUUCUCAGAUCUUCAUCUCUUUCUUAGGUUCUCGAAGAUCGAAAUUUUGAUACAAGUUUUUAAAGAUUCCAUUAAGUUCUCUCUUCUCAGAUCCAAUUUUCCAAAUCGUUUUUCCGUUCAAUUUCUUAGUGUUUCUUCGGUUUAUAUUUCUUAGGAAACGAUUUUGGAUCGUUGUUUUCUUCUUCUUCUUUUUUGGUUUUGCAGGUGAUUUUGAUGAUGGAAGUUGGAUCUUGGUUUCAGAUGAGAAAGCAGAGGUGAAUCGGUCUGGUGUGGAUCAGUAAUUGUUCAUUCAUGAUGUAAAGAAAACGAUCCAGAGGAUUGCUGAUUUGUUGAUUGAUGAUAGAUUUGGUGAGGAUUUAAAAGAUUAGAUGUGAAAGAGAUCGAUGCAACAUCUCUAUGUACAGAGUAUCGUGUAUCGUAUCUUCUUUGUCAUCCCGACCUUUGCCAUGAAAGGUGCGCUUGCUUGGCAGGUCAACCAAACCCUAAUAAAAAAAUUGAUUUGUGGUUUAGCAGGGGAGUUCGCACGGGGUCUUUUUUGCCCGGGUUCUCCCUUGUUGUGUGUCUGUGCCGUCACUCUCUUGCUACGAUUCUUAAAUUGUCUCAACGUGUCUGCUCUAUCAACAAUAACGAUUAUCCAAUCCCACCGAUGAUGAAUCACAAGGAAAUUCACAGCAACGCUGCAGUUUCAGCUCAAGGUUUGGAACUGGUAAAGGUUGUAAUGGUAUCAAAAGUUAUCGAUGUUGCACAGAUUAUUGGUAUCAAAAGUCAUCGAUGUUACACAAAUGUAUAAUGCUAUACUAGAAGAUGGUUUGCAAAACUGUUUCAUAUAACUGCUUGAAGUUUGAGUGCAGAACUUCUUCUGUAGUCGACUCUUUUAAGACCUGUGGAGUGUUCUUAUUUUGUUGGCAAUUCAUGUAUCAAGAGAUCUGGAGUUUGGCUGGUAGGCUUGUGUGUAGAUGAUUUCGAAACGAGGUUAAAUUUUAUGAUGUGCUUAUGGUAAUUAACUGGAUUAUUUACAGAUGUUUCUUUUUUUU